rnacentral:rRNA from 1 species
UACGUAGGGGGCAAGCGUUGUCCGGAAUUAUUGGGCGUAAAGAGCGUGUAGGCGGUCCGGUAAGUCAGCUGUGAAAGUCAAGGGCUCAACCCUUGAAUGCCGGUUGAUACUGUCGGGCUAGAGUCCGGAAGAGGCGAGUGGAAUUCCCGGUGUAGCGGUGAAAUGCGCAGAUAUCGGGAGGAACACCAAUGGCGAAGGCAGCUCGCUGGGACGGUACUGACGCUGAGGCGCGAAAGCGUGGGGAGCGAACGGG